ensembl:lncRNA
CCCUUAUGGAGAAGUUAGCAUACAAUGCUACUAGGGAUACCAGCAUGGGGAGUCCCUACGGAGAGGUCAGCAAACAACAACACUAGAAAUACAGCUGACUGCCUGGUUCUUGUUGGAGAACUUCUACCUGGACGAGCAUGUGCGCUACGUCCUGACCGUUUACCCUGUGACCAUCCUCUGGCUGGCGGGCAGUGUCACUCAGUCGGCACUCCCCGGGAAUUACAUCUACGACUUCUCCGUGGUGAUCCUGGGCACAGCGUGCGUCAUGUUUGUAGUGCGCCUGGCCCUGGUGUUGUGGCGACACCGGACAAAGCCUCUCUACAGCGACCCCUUCACGGUCCCAUCGCCGGUGGAGAUAGCCCUGACCCAGAGGGGGGUCUUUCACUAACGUCCUUAACGUACCCCUGAGAAGUAGCGGGUGUUUGUGGCGGAGUGAGACUGUUUUUGUAGAGGAGUUGAGAGUUCGUCUGUAGCGGGGAUGAGCGUGUGUUUGGAGCCGAGUGAGAGUUUGUUUGAAAUCGAGGUGAGAUUGUGUUUGUAGCGAAGUUGAGAGUGUGUUUGUAGCGGUGGUGAGCGUGUAUGUAGAGGAAGUGAGAGUGUGUUUGUAGCAGAGUGAGAGUGUGUUUGUAGAGAAGUUGAGAGUGUGUUUGUAGCGGUGGUGAGCGUGUAUGUAGAGGAAGUGAGAGUGUUUGUAGCGGAAUCAUUUUAUAUUGUUCCGUUCGGUCCGCUGAUGAUUGUGCAUUCUUGUGUAUUCUUUAGUAAAAAUCACCUGUUAUAUGCUGCAUUUCCACUGUAUUUGAGCGGUCAUUUGAGGAGAGACAUAUCAGUUCCACAGUGAAUGAACAGCUGUCUGUAUGUAAAUCAUGUCGGCUUCAAUAAAC